rnacentral:rRNA from 1 species
UACAGAGGUCUCAAGCGUUGUUCGGAUUCAUUGGGCGUAAAGGGUGUGUAGGUGGCGCGCUAAGACGGGUGUGAAAUUUCGGAGCUUAACUCCGAAACUGCAUUCGAUACUGGCGUGCUUGAGGACUGGAGAGGAGACUGGAAUUCAUGGUGUAGCAGUGAAAUGCGAAGAGAUCAUGAGGAAGACCAGUGGCGAAGGCGGGUCUCUGGACAGUUCCUGACACUGAGACACGAAGGCCAGGGGAGCAAACGGG